UACGUAGGGGGCGAGCGUUGUCCGGAUUUAUUGGGCGUAAAGAGCUCGUAGGCGGCUUGGCAAGUCGGGUGUGAAACCUCCAGGCUCAACCUGGAGACGCCACUCGAUACUGCCAUGGCUAGAGUCCGGUAGGGGACCACGGAAUUCCUGGUGUAGCGGUGAAAUGCGCAGAUAUCAGGAGGAACACCAACAGCGAAGGCAGAUCUCUGGGACGUAACUGACGCUGAGACGCGAAAGCGUGGGGAGCAAACAGG
rnacentral:rRNA from 1 species